UACGUAGGGGGCAAGCGUUAAUCGGAAUUACUGGGCGUAAAGAGUGCGCAGGCGGUGAAGUAAGACAGAUGGGAAAUCCCCGGGCUCAACCUGGGAACUGCAUCUGUGACUGCAUUGCUGGAGUGCGGCAGAGGGGGAUGGAAUUCCGCGUGUAGCAGUGAAAUGCGUAGAUAUGCGGAGGAACACCGAUGGCGAAGGCAAUCCCCUGGGCCUGCACUGACGCUCAUGCACGAAAGCGUGGGGAGCAAACAGG
rnacentral:rRNA from 1 species